ACACGGCCCAGACUCCUACGGGAGGCAGCAGUGGGGAAUUUUGGACAAUGGGGGCAACCCUGAUCCAGCCAUGCCGCGUGAGUGAAGAAGGCCUUCGGGUUGUAAAGCUCUUUCACCCGGAACGAAACGGUCACGGUUAAUACCCGUGACUACUGACGGUACCGGAAGAAGAAGCACCGGCUAACUACGUGCCAGCAGCCGCGGUAAUACGUAGGGUGCGAGCGUUAAUCGGAAUUACUGGGCGUAAAGCGUGCGCAGGCGGUUUUGUAAGUCAGAUGUGAAAUCCCCGGGCUUAACCUGGGAACUGCGUUUGAAACUACAAGGCUAG
rnacentral:rRNA from 1 species